GGACGACUAGCUCAAUGGCAGAGCACUGCGUUUACAUCGCAGGGGUUACAGGUUCGAGUCCUGUGCCGUCCACAA
rnacentral:tRNA from 1 species